rnacentral:rRNA from 1 species
ACGCGAAGAACCUUACCUACCUUUGAAUCCNCGAAAUNUUCUAGAAAUAGAGGAGNGCCUUCGGGAAUCGUGUGACAGNUGNUGCAUGNNUGUCGUCAGCUCGUGUCGUGAGAUGUUGGGUUAAGUCCCGUAACGGGCGCAACCCCUAUCCUUAGUUGCCAGCGAGUAAUGUCGGGGACUUUAAGGAGACCGCCGGUGAUNAAACCGGAGGAAGGUGGGGACGAUGUCAAGUCAUCAUGGCCCUUACAGGUAGGGCUACACACGUGCUACAAUGGCCAGUACAGAGGGUUGCCAACCCGCGAGGGGGAGCUAAUCUCAGAAAGCUGGUCGUAGUCCGGAUUGGAGUCUGAAACUCGACUCCANGAAGCUGGAAUCGCUAGUAAUCNCGGAUCAGAACGCCGCGGUGAAUACGUUNUCAGGCCUUGUACACACCGCCCGUCAAGCUAUGGGAGUGGGUUGUACCAGAAGCAGGUAGACUAACCUNNGGNG